UCAACGUGAGGUCCUUUCCAACCACUAGGAAACAACUGCCCGAGGGACACGUGCCCAAAAGAGGAUAUAUUUUUCCUAAAAUUGGUUUCAGUAAUUUUAAAAUACUUCCCAAGGAGCUCAAAAGUGUUUCAGACUACGGUUGUAUUGUAGAGGAAACACUUCAAAGCACUUUGCUUAAAUCUUUUGCUUAUGUUAAAAGCACUUACAGCAAAACUGCUUGCGCAGAUUGUUUUGUUAAUGUGAGGUCCUUUCCAACCACUGGGAAACAAUUGCCCGAGGGACACAUGCCCAAAAGAGGAUUAAUAAGUCUACUGGUCAAGGGCCCACUGUAACAACAACGAUAUUGUCUCUAAUUUACCAUAUGUCCAAUCCGUUAGGUGUGGAGUUUUAUCACAAAAAGCUUCGGUAUUAAUUAAAGAAGGGUAUUUUUAUUUAAA